rnacentral:tRNA from 1 species
GGGCGGGUGGCGGAAUGGUAGACGCGCACGGUUCAGGUCCGUGUGUCCGAAAGGACGUGAGGGUUCAACUCCCUCCUCGCCCACCA